GGGCAGACCCUGUGCAACAGGGUGCUGUGAACCAUGUCAGGCGGGGAACCGAGCAGCAUUAAGCGGAUCUCCCUGUGUGCCGCAGUCAGUCUGUUCCCA
rnacentral:SRP_RNA from 1 species